rnacentral:rRNA from 1 species
GACGAACGCUGGCGGCGUGCUUAACACAUGCAAGUCGAACGGAAAGGCCCUGCUUUUGUGGGGUUCUCGAGUGGCGAACGUGUGUGUAACACGUGAGUAACCUGCCCUUGACUUUGUGAUAACUUCAGGAAACUGGGGCUAAUACCGGAUAGGAGCUCCUGCUGCAUGGUGGGGUUUGGAAAGUUUCGGCGGUUGGGGAUGGACUGGCGGCUUAUCAGCUUGUUGGUGGGGUAGUGGCUUACCAAGGCUUUGACGGGUAGCCGGCCUGGGAGGGUGAACGGGCACAUGGGGACUGAGAGACGGACCAGACUGCAACGGGAGGCAGCAGGGGGGAAUAUUGCACAAUGGGCGGAAGCGUGAUGAAGAAACGCCGCGUGCGGGAUGACGGCCUUCGGGUUGUAAACCGCUUUAGCCUGUGACGAAGCGUGAGUGACGGUAAUGGGUAAAGAAGCACCGGCUAACUACGUG